UGGGUUUGGAUGUGAGCAUCUAUGCAUGCA
rnacentral:piRNA from 1 species